UACGAAGGGGGCUAGCGUUGUUCGGAAUUACUGGGCGUAAAGCGUGCGCAGGCGGCUUCUCAAGUCAGGGGUGAAAGCCCAGAGCUCAACUCUGGAAUUGCCUUUGAGACUGAGUGGCUUGUAGUACGAGAGAGGUGAGUGGAAUUCCCAGUGUAGAGGUGAAAUUCGUAGGAUAUUGGGAAGAACACCGGUGGCGAAGGCGGCUCACUGGCUCGUAACUGACGCUCAU
rnacentral:rRNA from 1 species